rnacentral:rRNA from 1 species
GACGAACGCUGGCGGCGUGCUUAACACGUGCAAGUCGUACGGUAAGGCCCUUUCGGGGGUACACGAGUGGCGAACGGGUGAGUAACACGUGAGUAACCUGCCCACAACUUUGGGAUAACGCUAGGAAACUGGUGCUAAUACUGGAUAUGUGCUCCUGCUGCAUGGUGGGGGUUGGAAAGCUCCGGCGGUUGUGGAUGGACUCGCGGCCUAUCAGCUUGUUGGUGGGGUAGUGGCCUACCAAGGCGGCGACGGGUAGCCGGCCUGAGAGGGUGACCGGCCACAUUGGGACUGAGAUACGGCCCAGACUCCUACGGGAGGCAGCAGUGGGGAAUAUUGCACAAUGGGCGCAAGCCUGAUGCAGCAACGCCGCGUGCGGGAUGACGGCCUUCGGGUUGUAAACCGCUUUCAGCAGGGACGAAGCUUUUUGUGACGGUACCUGCAGAAGAAGCACCGGCUAACUACGUG